rnacentral:lncRNA from 1 species
GUCAGUUUUUAAUAUUCUCUUUUUUCCAUUUACUAAUUUUAUUGUUUGUAUUUGGAGCACAGUUUUUAUUUUAUGUCUAUGCUGUGUGUCUUACUAUUGAGCUACAUGAUUAUAUUUUCUCUUUUACUAAUAUCAGUAGGAUGUGGAUGUUAUUUAUACAUGUCUUUUUCCUUAUUAUUUAUCAGUCUGUCUAGAGGUUAUCAAUUGUAAAAAAAUAAACCAGCUUUUAGUUUCAUCUUUUUUUCUAUUUUUUAAACUUUUAAUAUAAUUGAUUUAUUUUCUACUCUUUAUUAUUUUCUUCCUUCUAUUUGCUUUGGGUUUAAUUUGCUUUUCUUUCUCUAGUGUCCUAAUGUAAGUAUUUAAUGUUAGUAUCACAAUGAAAUCUUCAGGCAAUAUUUUCUCACUGCAUUUAUUUGUCUGAAAAAGUAUUUCACCUUCAUUGCUGAAAGAUAUUUUCUCUAGGUAUGGAGAUCUGGGUUGACAGGCUUUUUUAUUUCUUUCAAAAAUUUAAAGCUGUGAUUCCAAUAUCUUCUGACUUGUAGGCUUUCCGACGAGAAGGUGACUGUAAUUUUUGUCUUUGUUUCUCUGUAAUGUGAUGUGUCUUUUCACUGGCUGCCUUCAAAAUUGUCUUUUUAUGUUUUUCAGCCCUUUGAAUAGGAUAUGUCUAGGCAUAUGAUAUUUUUCAGUCUUGCUUUGCAAUCGCUUAGCCUCUUGAAUCUUUUUUAAAUGUCUUUCAUUAUUUUUGGAAAAUUUAUCUUUUCAAAUAUCUCUCUCGUUUUGUGCUCUCUCCUCCUUCUGGGUCUUCAAUUACAAGUAUUUAGAUGAUUUGAAAUUGUCACACAGCUUUUUGAUGCUCCGUUCUGUUUGUAUUCAUUCUUUUUUUCUCUGUCUUUAAGCUUUGGUGAUGCCUGUUGACCCAUCUUCAAGUUCAUGAUUCUUUCCUUAGCCAGGCCAAGUCCAUUGUUGAACCUGCUGAAGGAAUCCUUCAAAGGAUCUUUUAUUAUGCCCUAGGGCUGACCAGCUUUAUUUUUCUGCUUGAAGCAUUUGCUUCUCUAUGAGACAAGGGAUCAGGCAGGGAAGAAGGGUUUUUAUUUUUCCUGCAAUGGCAGCUACUCCCUCCUCCAUGCCUUCAUCAGCAGAGGAGGUCCUCCUGUCUCUUAUCCUGUUCUCUUGAACAGCCACUGGAGAUCUAUGGAAAAGAGCUUGCAGUGUUGGUCUGCAAGCUUCAAGAGCCAGUGACCCUGACUGCCAAGUGAUUUGCCGAAGGGAAUUAUGGUUUUGCAUUUGAUGGUUUCCAGGAACUGCUAAGAGUGAGAUCAUCCCUGAAGCAGUGACUGCCAGAGGAAGGCGAGAGACAUAUGGUGGCCUUACAGGAGAAGAACAUGUCUCAGAGAGCUCCUACUCCUCCAGUUUUGGCCCCAGAAUGAAACACAGGAAGAAGACCUGAAUUUGAUUUGCAUUUCAAAGUAGAACUGUCCCAGCUGACAUGAAGACUGAUGAAUAAGGAAUAAGUAUUUAUUGUUGUAUGUCACUGAUAUUUCUGUGGUCGAUUAUGUGUAGAAGAGCUGACUUGUACACUUACAUAAACUUGAAGAAGACUGAAUUUAGAAAUGGAGUUUCUGCAUAUGGUUAUGUCUGAGUAGCUCCAAGUGGAUCAUCCCUCCCACAGAUAACAACUCUAAACUCUGGACAAAAUAUAAAAAUAACAAUUUCCUGAAUAUCAAAGAGCAACCCAAAUCAUGCAGAUACUGGGUAAGUUUUAUAGGAAAUUUUUUAUAGCUUAAGACUAUGCAGCAGUCAGUAUCAUAUGGCAUGACUAAAACCUACAUAGGGAGAAAUGGUGUAGAGUAUGAAAAGCAACUACCACAGCUAAAAGGUGAGGAGGAAUAUCCAAGAAGGAGAGAGCUAAAGAGAGGCUCCUGGUUUUUGUGGAUACAUGCCACCCAAAUCUAUGGUUCAUCCCUGAACCAGAGUAUGCACAGUAAAUUUUAUUACAAUUUCACCUAGGAAUAAAAUAAUUGAACUGAAAUUUCAUAGUUGAGGGUUUGAGAAUGGCUAAGUUAACUACUUGCUAUUAUCAAAAAUCAAUACUCUUCAAAGAACAUAAAGGAAUCCAGAGUCUCUAAAACAUAUAAUUCAUAAAGUCCUAGAUAGAACACAUGAAAAAAAUCACAAUCUCACAUGGAAACUGGAAAAUAUGAUCCAAUAUCAAGAGAAAAUGUAAUCAUUGGAGACUGACCCAGAUAUUGGAAUAAGCAGAUAAGAAUAUUAAAGCAGCCAUAUAACUAAUGAUUCCCAGGUACAUGAAGUAAAAUAUGCUAAUAAUACAUUAAAAAUAGGAAACCUCAGUAAAGAAAUAAAAUCUUUUUAAAAGAACCAAUGAAGGCCGGG